UACGAACCGUGCAAACGUUGUUCGGAAUCACUGGGCUUAAAGGGCGCGUAGGCGGGCCAGCCAGUCUGUGGUGAAAUCCUCCAGCUUAACUGGAGAAGUGCCGUGGAUACUGCUGGCCUCGAGGAGGGUAGGGGCAUCUGGAACGGGCGGUGGAGCGGUGAAAUGCGUUGAUAUCGACCGGAACUCCGGUGGCGAAGGCGAGGUGCUGGACCCUUUCUGACGCUGAUGCGCGAAAGCCAGGGGAGCAAACGGG
rnacentral:rRNA from 1 species